GGUUGAUCCUGCCAGUAGUCAUAUGCUUGUCCUAAAGAUUAAGCCAUGCAUGUCCAAGUAUAAACCUUUAUACGGUGAAACUGCGAAUGGCUCAUUAUAUCAGUUAUAAUUUACUUGAUGAAUAUUUAUUACAUGGAUAACCGUGGUAAUUCUAGAGCUAAUACAUGCGUAGGGGGUGGCGUUGGUCACUCUGUAUUUAUUAGAUAAAACCGAGGCAGGGAGAGAUAAAAGGCUCUCUGUAUUUGGCGAGUCAUGAUAACUGGGCGGAUCGUAUGGCCUUGAGCUGACGACG
rnacentral:rRNA from 1 species